CACACACACAACCAAUAAACAAAUUUCAAAAAAAUUCUUUUGAAAGGGAGGGAAGGCAGGUACCUUCAACCCCAGCAAGUAGCAUUGCUAAAAACUUUGAACUAGGCCGGAGCACACGAAGACCGUAUUUCAUUUCUUAUUUUAAGGAAAUGUGAGAGGACCAGGUUUAAAGAGGUGUUCGAAGCUGUGCAUGGCGGCCGAUUUGUUCUCUUAGGAAGGUGUCUGGACACUUUCUCGGUGAUUUUUAUCCUCCUCCCUUUAUGAACACUUCCGAAAGCACAGAUGGCUUUAUUUAUCAUAUUCAUUUCUUGUUUAUUUUGAGACCGGGUCUCACUUUGUCGACCCUAGCCCUGGUUAGGCUAGAACUCUGUGUAGGACACACUGGACUCUUCUCCUGCCCCAUCUUCCUGAGAGCCAGGGUCACAGAAGGUGUGUGCCACAACCCCCAGUGGACACCGGGGCUUGCAAAGACAAAUGUACCAAUGGCGUUAAGAAGUGAGAGCUGGCAAGGUGUUGAAGGGCCGAACAACAUCCUACAAAUAUGCCAAGACCUUCAUUCACCCGUUCUUUCUCGCCUGUGAGGUCUCUGCA
rnacentral:lncRNA from 1 species